AUAUGGGAUUGUUUGUCUAAUUCAGCAUUUAAUCCCUCCUCCUUCUAGAUCAUGGUAAGGUCCUUCCUUAGGAAGAAAUAACUCUAGAAGAUGUGGGAAACCAUCUGGCCAAUUCUGCUCAAACUCUUGCAGCAGGAAGCUCCAUUUCAUGGUAGCAAACGAGACCCAAGCAUGAUGUCCUCAAGGUCCAUCCAUGUUGUUGCAGAUGGGUGAAGAUCAGACUCCCUAACAUAGCACAACAGGAUCCUGCCUGCCUCUCCCGCCUCUCCAUGCACCGCAGUCCUUUUCAUUCCCUUUAA